rnacentral:rRNA from 1 species
CACGUAGGAGGCAAGCGUUAUCCGAAUUUACUGGGCGUAAAGCGCGUGCAGGCGGUUCGGUAAGUUGGAUGUGAAAUCUCCCGGCUCAACCGGGAGAGGUCGUUCAAUACUGUCGGACUAGAGGAUGGUAGAGGGAGGUGGAAUUCCCGGUGUAGUGGUGAAAUGCGUAGAUAUCGGGAGGAACACCAGUGGCGAAAGCGGCCUCCUGGACCAUUCCUGACACUCAGACGCGAAAGCUAGGGUAGCAAACGGG